GGAGGUAGUGACAAUAAAUCUCAAUACGAAGCCUUUGGUUUUGUAAUUGAAUUGAGAACAAUGUACAAUCGUUAUCGAUAAACAAUUGGAGGGCAAGUCUGGUGCCAGCAGCCGCGGUAAUUCCAGCUCCAAUAGCGUAUAUUAACGUUGUUGCAGUUAAAAAGCUCGUAGUUGAAGUUUAGGUAAUUUGUAGAGAGUGUAAAUACCUUCGGUAUUUACUGCUCUCUUGGCAGAUUAUCGACUUCCAGGUAAGCUUGAUAAUCCUUUCGGGGACUGUCAAGCCAGACUGGUCUUUUACUGUGAGAAAAUUAGAGUGUUUAAAGCAGACUUUUAUUUAGUUUGAAUAGAUUAGCAUGGAAUAAUAAGAUUGGCUUUCAUAGUCGAUUUUUUGGUUUGUUUAUGAAAGCAAGAUUAAUAGGGACAGUUGGGGGUAUUCAUAUUCAAUAGCUAGAGGUGAAAUUCUAUGAUUUAUGGAAGAUGAACAAGUGCGAAAGCA
rnacentral:rRNA from 1 species